rnacentral:rRNA from 1 species
GAUGAACGCUGGCGGCGUGCCUAAUACAUGCAAGUCGAACGAGAUCUUCGGAUCUAGUGGCGAACGGGUGAGUAACGCGUUGGUACCUACCCUGAAGUGGGGAAUAACUGGCCGAAAGGUCGGCUAAUACCGCAUAAUACCGCAAGGUUAAAGUCGUAAGACGCUUCGGGAGGGGCCUGCGUCCCAUUAGCUAGUUGGUGAGGUAACUGCUCACCAAGGCGACGAUGGGUAGCUGGAUCGAGAGGUUGACCAGCCACACUGGGACUGAGAUACGGCCCAGACUCCUACGGGAGGCAGCAGUAAGGAAUCUUCCACAAUGGGCGAAAGCCUGAUGGAGCAACGCCGCGUGCAGGAUGACGGUCUUCGGAUUGUAAACUGCUUUUAUAUGGGAAGAUUAUGACGGUACCAUAUGAAUAAGCACCGGCUAACUACGUGCCAGCAGCCGCCGUAA